GUUAAUGUAGCUUAUCAAUAAAGCAAGGCACUGAAAAUGCCUAGAUGGGUUAAAUACCCCGUAAACA
rnacentral:tRNA from 1 species